AAAAGUAGGGCUUGUCCUGCCAGUGGGAGGGGCCCAGGUGGAGCAAACAUGCACUCUCCAGCGUAUUCUUUCUUCUAAGCCCAAUAGCAGUAGGAGCAGAUUUGACUUGUGUUGGGAACUGCAUAGUUAAUCUCUCCAUGUUUUUAGUCUCCCUGCUCCUCAUGUGUGGAGCUGAAAUCUGCUACUGGCCAUGGACAGAAAUUUGGAGAUCAUAAAUACAAAAUGGAUGUUUAAAUCUCCUUCAAGAGACAGAAGGCUUCUUUAACAUACUGUUUCUAUUUUAGGAAACAUUAACUGAAAGAAAUUGAUGUUAAAAAGUGCUACAGAGGUGUAUUUUUAGCAGCACUGAAAUAAUGAGCUAAUACAUAAAGAUUCUAACACAUUCAUACUGUUCAUAACAGAGGAAAGUAACAUGCAACAUGUGUCUGCUGAUGGGAUAAAUAAGCUCAGAGCAUCAAGGCUGUAACAUACACCAGUCAGCAAAAUAGUAAACAGUUGAAGUUUGAAUUUUCAAGUUUAGGGAGAGCAUGAAUCAUUGCUUUAAUUUUUUAAUUGUCUUUAUAAUAAAUGUAGUUAUCAUUAAAUUCUCUGCAUAAUAGCAAAAAAUCCUGAACAUCUGGUCAGUCCAAAAUUCCAUGCUAAAAAAUUACUUUUUAAAGAUUAUAAUGGGAGAAUUACUUUUUCAAUUUAGACCAUUUUCUGAAAACAAUUAGCGACUGAUCAGAUGAACAGUUCAACUGGCAAAGCAAGGGUAAGGUACACACUAACAGUGAUUAUAACAGGCAGGUGGUGGCCAGUAACCCCCGAACUAGAGUUUGUAGGUCCUGGAACAGUCCUUAUUUUGAAAUGGGAGCACAAAAGAGGCCUAAAAGAGUUAACCAAGAUAUCUUGGCCUGCUAAGAAACCCCAAUAUCUGUUUUGCUAGAAGAACAUUUUAGGAGCACUGGUUAAUAUCAUGUUCUAUUCUGCUCACUGGACCAAAGGCCUUAAUAUAGAAAGAAUAAGAGUAAUAUACACAGGGCAAUAAAUUAGGUAAACCAGAUUUUUGAAUAAGAUAUAGAAGGCCCAAAGCCAGGAUUUUGCAAGCCUCAUGAAUUCAGGUCACCUAACAAAGAAAAUUGAAGAGGUCAAAUUGAGGAAGAUAUCUGUGGCGACCACCAGAGGGAUGAAGGCUUGAGGAGGAGACCCCCAGAGUAGAAGACUGCACAUGCCUGGAAGGACUCUGCCCAGAGACUAGCCUACUUAUUCAUAUGUAUGAUAAAUAAUGUAACCAUGUAUCUGAAGUGUAUAAAAUUGCUUGCUUUUGCACUUUCAGGUCGAGCAAGUUUGUCCAGCGAGAGCUGGCUUGCUCCCAAUGUUGAAUAAACAAAUACCUUGCU